AUGUAUUUACACAGGCAAAAAGUAGACAACAGACCUUCACAAAAAAUAAAGAAAUUAUGUUUUAAUACAUUAAAAGCAUCAGAAUUUAUAGAAAGGGAUAUAAAUUACUUAAUGAAAACUCUUCUGAUGCUUAAUAGAAAGUUAUGUUGUAACAUGUGGAGGAAAAAAAAAGAAUUUCUCUGCUUCAGAGCAAUAGCCACAGAGGAAAAUGUUUCCAGUGCAUGUUCCAUGCUGUGACAUACCUUAUUUUUCAAUAACUCUACAUACAAAAGAGAAAGAACAUAUUGGUUGGACAAUGUCAUUAUUCCAUCAAUGGAGUCAUGAUCUUAGCCCAGAAUAUUGAUAUCAUUGUCCGUCAAGAUAAACAACUCCAUUAUUGCUUGGAUUCUCUGAUGUCUGUAUCCUUUUUCAUAUUUUACUGCAUCAGAGGAACCAGACCCCCAGAGAGCUGGUUCCUCACUUUGUUUUUUCUUCAUCAAACACCACAGGGUCAAUUCCUGUUAAUAAUGCAACAAAUCUUGUGAUUUAAUAUAUCUCCCAAUUUAUAACAGUUUUGUUGAUGCCCAUAAAAUGCACGAUUUUCAAUAGCUUCUGCAUUUUGCCUAAAAAAUUUUUUUUUGUUUGGGAUUUUUUGUUUUGGUAUAAUUUAGGGUCUUUUGUUUGUUUGUUUUUGCUUUUUGCUUUCUAAUCUUAUAGAUUUGAAAGAAAACUGCUGUACUGAAUAUGCAACACUUGUGAAUUACCUAAUAUACUGUUUAGGAAAAAAUUAUUAUGACAUUCACUUUUCUCCUUGCUAAGUUGCUAAAGAUUUUCCUGGCAAAUCGGAAAUUAGUACCGUUCUGCACGCAUUUGUAUAUUGUCAGGCACAUAUAUGAAAAUAUGGAGAAGCUUAUGUUUCAGCAAGCUACUCAGUGUGCUUUCAUCUUGCAUUUUUUAGAUGCAUGGAAAAUAUCUCUUGGCAUACAAGGGAGUAAUUAAAUCUCUUGUUUGCAGUAGCAUUUUUUUGAUGACCAAGGUGUCCAGCAUUAGGCAGGCUUGCUUCAGCCAGUGAAAAACUUGCCAGUCAACAGAACAGCUGACUUAAGGUACUAAACAAAUAAAAUCUUUACUAAGUGAAUGCUUUUCUGCCUUUCUGUACAUAUACCCCUAUAUUUGAGUAAAAGCUACAUAUGACAGUUUGUUGAGCCUUUCUUUAGCCUUAGGACCUGGGCUCAUGAAAUGUGAGUUUUCCUUCUUUAAUCUCCUUCUCAAAGAAACUCCUUACUGAUACCAUUUGUUCAGGGAUGGCUCUACCUGAGCCAGGCAAAAAUCACUUUUUUCUUUUUUUAGCAAAGGGGUUUGGAAGAGCAGAAAAGCUUUGGUGCCUCUGCACAAGAGAAACAACACACUGGAUCUCUUGAUAUACAAAGGGGGCAAGGAAGAAGAAAAAGUGUAUUUGGCUUGUUUGCUAUAAGGUUAUUCUAACACCAUUGUAAAAUAAAGAAAUAAAACAUAAGGAAAUAAUGAGUGCAAUGUACAUCAGAUCUACCAGAUAUGAGCAGAUAAUACACUUUUGAAGAAGGCAGGUUCUUUUCAGACGAGAAAGCAUACUGGAAUGGACAUUCCCUCAUGUAACUCCUACUUUUUUAGUAGAUUUCUUCUAAGGAAUAUAUUUUCAAUGGGAAGGAUUCCC
ensembl:lncRNA